UACGUAGGGGGCAAGCGUUGUCCGGAAUCAUUGGGCGUAAAGCGCGUGUAGGCGGCUUGGUAAGUCUGCUCUGAAAGCCCGGGGCUCAACCCCGGGAGGCGGGUGGAUACUGUCAAGCUCGAGUCCGGAAGAGGAGUGUAGAAUUCCUGGGUGUAGCGGUGAAAUGCGCAGAUAUCAGGAGGAACACCAAUGGCGAAGGCAGCACUCUGGGACGUGACUGGACGCUGAGACGCGAAAGCGUGGGGAGC
rnacentral:rRNA from 1 species